CACGUAGGCACCAAGCGUUGUCCGGAUUUAUUGGGCGUAAAGAGCUCGUAGGCGGUCUGUCGCGUCGGCUGUGAAAACCCGGAGCUCAACUCCGGGCCUGCAGUCGAUACGGGCAGACUGGAGUUCGGCAGGGGAGACUGGAAUUCCUGGUGUAGCGGUGAAAUGCGCAGAUAUCAGGAGGAACACCGGUGGCGAAGGCGGGUCUCUGGGCCGAUACUGACGCUGAGGAGCGAAAGCGUGGGGAGCGAACAGG
rnacentral:rRNA from 1 species